rnacentral:rRNA from 1 species
CGAGGACUUCGGUCCUAGUGGCGAACGGUCGCGUAACACGUAAGCAACCUGCCCUGAAGUGGGGGACAACAUCCCGAAAGGGGUGCUGAUACCGCAUGUGGUCACGAGUCGGCAUCGACUUGUGUCUAAAGAUUUAUCGCUUCAGGAUGGGCUUGCGGCCUAUCAGGUAGUUGGUGGGGUAAUGGCCUACCAAGCCGACGACGGGUAGCUGGUCUGAGAGGACGAUCAGCCGGAUUGGGACUGAGAUACGGCCCAGACUCCUACGGGGGGCAGCAAUUAGGAAUCUUGCGCAAUGGGGGAAACCCUGACGCAGCGACGUCGCGUGAAGGAUGAAGGCCCUCGGGUCGUAAACUUCUUUUGAGUGGGAAGAAAUUUGACGGUACCACUCGAAUAAGCCCCGGCUAACUACGUGCCAGCAGCCGCGGUAAUACGUAGGGGGCGAGCGUUGUCCGAAGUUACUGGGCGUAAAGCGCGCGUAGGCGGUUAUUUAAGUCUGGGGUGAAAGGUUCAGCGCU